UCUUGUCUGACUGUCUUAUUUCAGAAAGGCAGCCAUCAAGCUCUGAGAUUCUUUCCUCCACUUGGUCUAUUCUGCUACUAAUACUUCUCAGCCCAGUUCAGAACUCCUGCUGGAGAGAUGAUUCAGCUGUUUGCAGGAAAAAAGGCCCUCUGACUUUUCUAGAGUAUAAAGAAGAGGAUGAAGGCUUAAGCAGGAAACUUUGACAGCUCCAAAGAUCUUAAUCCUUAUAAAGAAGUAAUUAAGUUUCAACUCUGCACUCAGAUUUUCAAGAAACCUUUGCAACUUUAACAUAGUAUUUUGAGGAGUAAAAGUGACACCUGGAAAAAGCCAUCCAUGAGAACUAACUCCCCACAAACUGAUCAGAUGUCAGGACUGCGAUUUUUCUUCAGAGAAAGCAAAACUAUGGGUUAAGAUGUGUUUGGAAGGCAG